ACGGGUGAGUAACGCGUGGGAAUCUACCCAUCUCUACGGAAUAACGCAUGGAAACGUGUGCUAAUACCGUAUACGUCCUUCGGGAGAAAGAUUUACCGGAGAUGGAUGAGCCCGCGUUGGAUUAGCUAGUUGGUGGGGUAAAGGCCUACCAAGGCGACGAUCCAUAGCUGGUCUGAGAGGAUGAUCAGCCACACUGGGACUGAGACACGGCCCAGACUCCUACGGGAGGCAGCAGUGGGGAAUAUUGGACAAUGGGCGCAAGCCUGAUCCAGCCAUGCCGCGUGAGUGAUGAAGGCCCUAGGGUUGUAAAGCUCUUUCACCGGUGAAGAUAAUGACGGUAACCGGAGAAGAAGCCCCGGCUAACUUCGUGCCAGCAGCCGCGGUAAUACGAAGGGGGCUAGCGUUGUUCGGAUUUACUGGGCGUAAAGCGCACGUAGGCGGACUAUUAAGUCAGGGGUGAAAUCCCGGGGCUCAACCCCGGAACUGCCUUUGAUACUGGUAGUCUUGAGUUCGAGAGAGGUGAGUGGAAUUCCGAGUGUAGAGGUGAAAUUCGUAGA
rnacentral:rRNA from 1 species